rnacentral:rRNA from 1 species
GGAUUAGAUACCCUGGUAGUCCACGCCGUAAACGAUGUCUACUAGCCGUUGGGGAACUUGAUUCCUUAGUGGCGCAGCUAACGCACUAAGUAGACCGCCUGGGGAGUACGGCCGCAAGGUUAAAACUCAAAUGAAUUGACGGGGGCCCGCACAAGCGGUGGAGCAUGUGGUUUAAUUCGAUGCAACGCGAAGAACCUUACCAGGCCUUGACAUCCAGAGAAGUCGCUAGAGAUAGCUUCGUGCCUUCGGGAACUCUGUGACAGGUGCUGCAUGGCUGUCGUCAGCUCGUGCCG